CUUCCAAUCAAGUAGCCUACUCUAAUGGCGUUUUGAGGUAACGUUAGCAAUCAAACAAUCCAUAGAUAGCUACAACGUUUCUGAAAUGA